rnacentral:rRNA from 1 species
UACGGGGGGGGCAAGCGUUGUUCGGAAUUACUGGGCGUAAAGGGCUCGUAGGUGGCCAACUAAGUCAGACGUGAAAUCCCUCAGCUUAACUGGGGAACUGCGUCUGAUACUGGAUGGCUUGAGUUUGGGAGAGGGAUGCGGAAUUCCAGGUGUAGCGGUGAAAUGCGUAGAUAUCAGGAGGAACACCGGUGGCGAAGGCGGCCCUCUGGACGGUGACUGACGCUGAGACGCGAAAGCGUGGGGAGCAAACAGG